UAAAACAAUGAAAACAUCAUCUUUCCUGUCAUCGCUCCAAAUAUUCUUACACCUGAGGAUUGCCAAAUAUUUGUAGCUCCAAAUAUAUAUUCUCAGCUACAAAUUCCUUUUCUUUUCUUUUUAUUUAAUUAAGAGUGGAAUAACUUAAGGAAAGAAAGAUAAAAAAGAAAAAACAGAGAGACACACAUAAAAGUCUCUUGUAGAGAGAGACAAAGCAUGAGCACUUCUUCCUCUGUUUCCAUUUCAACAAUUCCUCUCUUUAGAUCUUAGUUUCUCUCAAGUUUCCCAACUGGGUCUUCUCCAAUAUGCAAGGGAUGGAAUCAGAUCUUGGUAAGCUCUUCAUUGGUGGGAUUUCAUGGGACACUGAUGAGGAACGUCUUAAGGAAUAUUUUAGCAAGUAUGGGGAAGUGGUUGAGGCUGUGAUCAUGAGAGAUCGUGUUACAGGCCGUGCCCGUGGCUUUGGUUUUGUUGUCUUUGCAGAUCCUAUUGUUGCCGAGAGGGUCAUCAUGGAGAAGCACGUGGUUGAUGGCCGCACAGUUGAAGCCAAGAAGGCUGUUCCUAGGGAUGACCAGCACAUUUUAAGUAGAAACACUAGUAGUAUUCAUGGUUCUCCAGGUCCUGGACGCACGAAAAAGAUUUUUGUUGGAGGCCUUGCGUCUACGGUUACAGAGAAUGACUUCAAGAAGUACUUUGAGCAGUUUGGUAAUAUUACUGAUGUUGUAGUGAUGUACGAUCACAACACUCUGAGGCCAAGAGGCUUUGGCUUCAUCACUUAUGAUUCUGAGGAAGCAGUGGACAGAGUUCUGCAUAAAACAUUUCAUGAACUCAAUGGUAAAAUGGUUGAGGUCAAGAGGGCAGUCCCAAAGGAGCUAUCACCAGGUCCUAGUCGGAGCCCUCUGAUGGGAUAUAACUAUGGUUUGACUAGGGCCAACAACUUCCUUAAUGCAUAUGCUCAGGGAUAUAAUAUGAACUCUAUUGGAGGUUUUGGAAUGAGGAUGGAUAGUAGGUUUAAUCCACUCGCCACUGGUCGAAGUGGAUUUGCUCCCUUUAGCACCACUGGUUAUGGGAUGAGUAUGAAUUUAGAGCCAGCCUUGAGUCCAAGCUACGGUGGAGGUUCCAACUUUGGUAACACUCCUGCAUAUGGGCGGAUCUCAAGUCCUUAUUAUAGUGGGAAUCCAAGCAGGUACAACACACCAGUAGGUUAUGGUGAGGGGAAUGCAAGAAAUGAUUCGCUCUUAAGCCCUACUACUUGGAAUGUCUGGGGAAAUGGCAGCCACAAUACUGCGACAAAUCCUGCCAGCCCUGGUCCUUUAUUGGGCUCCAGAACUGGAAAUUUUGGAGUUUCAUUUGGGAAUAGUGGAUCGAAUUGGGGCACUUCUCCUGUAUCAGCUCAAGGCAGAGGAGGCGCUUCUGGCUAUACUACUGGCAGCAUGGGUUAUGGGAGUGGUGACAACAAUUAUGGUUUGAGUGGGGCAGGAUAUGUAAGAAACAGUGGCACUGGUGCACCACCAACAUCAUCAUUCUCUGGGUCAGCUGGUGGUUAUGAGGGGUCCUAUGGGGACCUUUAUCGCAGUGGUUCUGUUUAUGGUGAUUCAACUUGGCAAUCUGCUACUCCUGAGCUUGAUGGUUAUGGUUCAUUUGGUUAUGGGCUCGGUGAUGUAGCUUCAGAUGUUACAACUAAGAGUUCCGAGGGUUAUAUUGGAAGUUAUGGUGUUACAAGUAGACAAUCAAAUAGAGAUUUUUAAGCAACUGGUAGUCCUAUUAAUAAAUUGUUGAAUUCUCUAACGUGGGGAUGCAAUUGGAUACACAACUGGGCAGAAGUUGGAAUUUUCAUAGGUCUCUCGUUAUUUGCUUUUGGAGUGAAAGUGGGCAUCUUUAAUCAUGCAAUUGCCCAUGAAAUGCACCCAGUUUUUAGCUCUUAUGGUUACUGAUGUUUGAUAGCUAAUUGCUAACAUCUGGUGCAGGAAUCUGGUUAAACAGGUGAAGAAUUGUGAAUUUCAUCAUACGCCCCCCUCUUGAUUACGUUCAGCUUAUAAAGAAAUUGAUCUUGUAGAGCUAACAAGGGUUCUUGAUUUGCAUUAUACACGUUGAGAGAGCAGCAGCAGUUACAAGGGAUUUUCUGUAAGGUUUGAGAUUUGAUUUGAUUUUUUUCCUUCUUUCUAAAUUAGCCAGAGGCUUAGGUUCCUUUCAUGGUAUUUGAGUGAGGUGUAAGAUCAGAUUGCGGGAUAUAUACUCAGGAAGAUUGGCUCCAUAAAUGUUCGUGAAUCUCCUGUGGGGGCACAUGUUAGCAGUUGGUAAGAAAAGAGUAUUUUCUUUCAUUUUUUUCUUUUGCCUGCCAAAGGUGCUGGAUGUUGUCAGUAUCUUUACUUGGGAUUUGUCUCUCCCAGAUUGUAUUUGAGGUUCUCUGCCUUUCUGCUAGUGUGAAACAUUACAAGGGAUGGUCUUAUACGAUUCCCAUAAAUAAGUUACUGAAUAUUCUGAUUCAUUUUUUAUUAAUUGUGACAAAGCAAGUUUUCCACA